AAUCAAAAUGAGAGCGACACACACUGAGCCACUGCGUUAAAUGUGCACAUUAGCGGCUAAACAAUUAAUCCAUGAAUAGAUUAGUCAAUUAAAAUAGACAAUGUGAUUGCUGAUUGAUCAUUUAAAUCGUUUAUGUUGCAAAAAUGUCUGAUUCCAGCCUCUCAAAUAAAAGGAUUUACAACUUUCCUUUGUUUUAAAUGUCUUUAAAUUGAACAGACUCGUGUUGCUCACACCAAACAAUACAUUUCAAAUGUCACCUUGGGAGAUGGAAAAAUUAUGAUGGGCACACUUUCUAAACCUUUCUGUACAGCACAGAAUAAACCAAUCAGUCAGGUUAAUAAUUAACAUAUAGUUCGAUGAUGGUAAUAAUCACUAGUGGCAGCUCAGGUUUACACAUUAAACCCGGGGUUGUUUCAUUCUCAAGCCACAUCACAGGGCUGCGCCUGAAGGUGACAAAGGUGACGACCUGGGCACCUGCCAAUUAAUCAUCAAAUAACCCGCGUGCACCAGUCUGAAACACCUGUUUUGGACAAAUGACAGCACGUGCCGUGCGCGAGUCCAACCAACCGCUCCCCGGGUCAGUUAAUUCGGCUAUUCUGCACAGUGGGUGGCCGGUAACGAAACACCAAAGACAUUUUAACCGUUAGCUGUGCCAAACAAAACACACGACGACCGAGUUAGCAGAAGCUAAAACACUUCGUUGAGUUAAAAAUGUCACUGCCAGCUCCAGUAAACAGUGUGCAGUGACAGUCCGGCGCUUGGUAGUUUCAGGCAGAUGGAUGCAGCAGGAAGCCCUCAGUACAACGCACCCAACCUGAGACGGUGGCAGCAGGUCUGGAGAUCUUAGCACAGCAGGACACCUGGAUGCAGGUAGAAAAUGUACGUGACGGAUGGAACGACAGACAGAGCAGAUUGGCCUGCUGCAGGGGAUGAAUCAUGAUGCAUAAUAAAGUUGUUUUAAGGCCAUUUUGUUUGGUGUUGUCACCACAUGGCACAGAGAAUAUUCAGAAGGAGAGAAUUUAUUCAAAUGUGCAUCUGAAGCAGAACUUUUAAAAGAUAUAUCUCGUAGUUUGGUGGUGCCAAGCUCGUUUCAACUCAAGUCAAAUUGGCUGUAUGUUUCACAUUAGUUGUUUGACUGUUAAAUAUUUCAGUCUCUGACUCCUCCACCCUAAAACAAAUACAGCUGCCUGCCAUCAGAUCCAUAGCCAGUUUUGGUAUUAAUGCUCAGCCACAACAUACAUCAACACCACAGUUUAAAGCUUCAUAAGAAGAUAAUCCCUCCCUUCCUUUGUGUCAGAGUGCACCACAUUUUCUGUACUUAAUGUGUCUUAUCGAGUUCCCUGUCUGGUAUUACAAGUUCAGGCAUGCCUCUGCUGUUGCUUCAUAAGAAAGAGACACCAGGAUUUUACUCCACAACAAAAUAUAAUUUAAUGAAUUCACUUUUCACUGUGUCGAUCACAAAUCUAUAUUGAUGUAAAAAAUAAAAAAAAAAAAGAGAAAAGAAAUGAUCCAGUACUCUCCUUUGUCUUAAUGUAAGGCAUGCAGUCUUGACAGAGCUUUGGACAUUGAAAGCUACAGGUCAUUACAGAAGACACACACUGACACUCAGCCACAAAUACACACAGAAGCGCUCGGAGUAUCCACUCUUUUCUUGGGACCCAAUAAACAUUUAUUCUUUGCACAUACAGUGAGUAGAGGUGGGAUUCAUUACAACACCAAAA